rnacentral:rRNA from 1 species
GUGCCAGCCGCCGCGGUAAUACGUAGGUCCCGAGCGUUAUCCGGAUUUAUUGGGCGUAAAGCGAGCGCAGGCGGUUAGAUAAGUCUGAAGUUAAAGGCUGUGGCUUAACCAUAGUACGCUUUGGAAACUGUUUAACUUGAGUGCAGAAGGGGAGAGUGGAAUUCCAUGUGUAGCGGUGAAACGCGUAGAUAUAUGGAGGAACACCGGUGGCGAAAGCGGCUCUCUGGUCUGUAACUGACGCUGAGGCUCGAAAGCGUGGGGAGC